rnacentral:rRNA from 10 species
UCUCGUUGGUGACCAGCGGAGGGAUCAUUA